rnacentral:rRNA from 1 species
AAACAAUGAUGACAUCAUACAAACAUCAUCCGCCAGGGGACUACGAGCGCCAGCUUAAAACCCAAAGGACUUGGCGGUGCCUUAUACCCACCUAGAGGAGCCUGUUCUAUAACCGAUAACCCCCGUUAAACCUCACCACCCCUUGUCAACCCCGCCUAUAUACCGCCGUCGCCAGCUUACCUUAUGAAAGCACAAUAGUAAGCCAAAUGGGUAACACCCAAAACGUCAGGUCGAGGUGUAGCGAAUGGAGUGGGAAGAAAUGGGCUACAUUUUCUGCCCCAGAAUACUACGAAAAGUGUCAUGAAAACAACACUAAUGAAGGUGGAUUUAGCAGUAAGAGGAAAAUAGAGUGUUCC